rnacentral:tmRNA from 1 species
GGGGCUGAUUCUGGAUUCGACGGGAUUUGCGAAACCCAAGGUGCAUGCCGAGGGGCGGUAGGCCUCGUAAAAAGCCGCAAAAAAAUAGUCGCAAACGACGAAAACUACGCUUUAGCAGCUUAAUAACCUGCUUAGAGCCCUCUCUCCCUAGCCUCCGCUCUUAGGACGGGGAUCAAGAGAGGUCAAACCCAAAAGAGAUCGCGUGGAUGCCCUGCCUGGGGUUGAAGCGUUAAAACGAAUCAGGCUAGUCUGGUAGUGGCGUGUCCGUCCGCAGGUGCCAGGCGAAUGUAAAGACUGACUAAGCAUGUAGUACCGAGGAUGUAGGAAUUUCGGACGCGGGUUCAACUCCCGCCAGCUCCACCA